UACGUAGGGUGCAAGCGUUGUCCGGAAUUAUUGGGCGUAAAGAGCUCGUAGGCGGUCUGUUGCGUCGGCUGUGAAAACCCGGGGCUCAACCCCGGGCCUGCAGCCGAUACGGGCAGACUAGAGUUCGGCAGGGGAGACUGGAAUUCCUGGUGUAGCGGUGGAAUGCGCAGAUAUCGGGAGGAACACCAGUAGCGAAGGCGGCACUCUGGGCCGGUACUGACGCUGAGGAGCGAAAGCGUGGGGAGCAAACAGG
rnacentral:rRNA from 1 species